rnacentral:rRNA from 1 species
AGGACGAACGCUGGCGGCGUGCUUAACACAUGCAAGUGGAGCGACGAACCAGGGCUUGCCCUGGGGCAGAGCCGCGAACGGGUGAGUAACACGUGGGUUACCUGCCUCGAUGACCGGGACAACCCGAGGAAACUCGGGCUAAUACCGGAUGUGCCCGCAAGGGGAAAGGAAGCUUCGGCCUCCGCAUCGAGAUGGGCCCGCGGCCCAUUAGCUUGUUGGUGAGGUAACGGCUCACCAAGGCUUCGAUGGGUAGCUGGUCUGAGAGGACGAUCAGCCACACUGGGACUGAGACACGGCCCAGACUCCUACGGGAGGCAGCAGUGGGGAAUCUUGCGCAAUGGACGAAAGUCUGACGCAGCAACGCCGCGUGAGGGACGAAGGCUUUCUGAGUUGUAAACCUCUUUCGACAGGAACGAUUGUGACGGUACCUGUAGAAGAAGCACCGGCCAACUAUGCGCCAGCAGCCGCGGUAA